rfam:Capsicum annuum cultivar Zunla-1 chromosome 2, whole genome shotgun sequence
ACGUCAUAAUUUGGGAAUUGGUAUAUCUUUCCAUUAAACCUCUCCCAUGCUUCAAACAAUGGUUCUCCAUUUAAUUUCUAGAAGUUUACAAUCUCAUCCCGCUU